rnacentral:tRNA from 1 species
GGAUGUAGCUCAGUAGUAGAGCACUUGCCUAGCAUGCAUUAGGUCCUGGGUUUGAUCCCCAGAACCA